rnacentral:rRNA from 1 species
UACGUAGGGUGCAGGCGUUAAUCGGAAUUACUGGGCGUAAAGCGUGCGCAGGCGGUCUUUUAAGUCAGAUGCGAAAUCCCCGGGCUUAACCUGGGAACUGCGUUUGAAACUGGAAGGCUUGAGUGUGGCAGAGGGGGGUGGAAUUCCACGUGUAGCAGUGAAAUGGCGUAGAUAUGUGGAGGAACACCGAUGGCGAAGGCAGCCCCCCUGGGCUAACACUGACGCUCAUGCACGAAAGCGUGGGGAGCAAACAGG